rnacentral:tmRNA from 1 species
ACCCUUCCAAAACCCCUGCUGACGUUCUAUAUUAACUCUGCCGGUUCGCCGGCUAUGGCGAUAAACGGGUUGUGGAAUAAGCAUAACGGACCCGGGGGCAGUGCCCGGCGCCUCCACCAAUUUCUCUUUUGGGGGCGAAACAGGAUCGACGUGUGUAGUAAAGACAACACUUUUGCUCGGCAUGGUACCACCGAUAUCGGACCAUUCCUACAAGUGCCAACGAUAACGUUGAACUUGCCGCUGCCGCCUAAUAGGCGUUAAGCGCGGCCCGGGGGGCGCCGGGCAACAGAAGCCCCCCACU